CGACAGCUCGAUUUGCUUAUUGGAGAAAUAUAAAGAAUUAUUUAACUCCUUUUUUGAGCAAAAUUAUAAAAUGAUAAUCGGAAACAAAAUUACAAGCUCUCUAAGAGGCAAAAAUUUAUCAGUGUGUCAGCAAACUUAAAUAGAAUGGUGAAGGUCAAUGAAAAGUGAAAACAUUCUCACGAGUGAAUGAAAACAUAUGGUUUUGGUUGCAUGAAAACCAGAAGAGAAAUUCACUAGAUGGUGAAAAUCUAACGGGAAAAAAGUUUAGAAGAAAACUUCCUUGUUGCUUUGCGUGUUAACCUUUGUCUCUAUCCCUUGCUCUUUGUUUGGAUCUCUCUGAGGAGAUAAAAUCUUUUCAUUCUUACGAAAACGUGUUUUUCCAAGGCCAUCAAGCACAUCUAGAGUGCAGUUCACACUUCCGUAUUCUUAAAGCCUGGAUGAUGGUCAUUUUGACAAAAUUUGAAACAGUGGAUUGGUUUUUCUAUAAACGCUCACAGUAGGAUCUUCAAGCUGAGACAAAUAAACUGAAACAAAGUUAGUGAAGAAUCAGGCAUCUUGAACAAUUCUGUUCCACCUCAAACCAGAGGGCAUGAGCUACGCAAUACACUUCAAAUGAACCCAUGGGAAAAGUAAAAGUCGGCGUCUAGGAAAAAAUAUCCAUGAAAAUGAAACCCCCCGUUAUUCAUAACCGAGGCAGCGUUUGCAGACACGAUUUAUUGCAGCCUCUAUCUGAACCUUCCAUUGCUACGUACCACUUUGAAUAAACCAUUUAGAAACAAACAAUAAACCGUUAUUCUUUAUAAGCAAGCAUCAAUGCGUCAAGAAUAUCUUUCUAGAACAGAAGUCAAAGAAAGCAAGGAUCUCACCAAUGGCAUAUUGUAAUACAGCCCUCUUAUCAUGCGAGCCAGUAAAGGAAAGACUGCAUCUUUAAAACACACCUUCGAAAAAGCACUGGUUAUCAGAAACCUAAGUUUGAUGACGAGACAAUCAUUUCACUAGACAUUCCAGCUUAUGCAUUCAAGCUCCAUUGCCAUGAUAUAUAACACUGUGCAUGAAAUUAUAUAUUGAAAACAAUGUGAAAUGCAUGCAAUAUAACGAUGCUUUUCAUUUCUCCUUUUUCGUGUUUAUGUCUCGAAUGCGUUUGAGUAUCAAUGUCAUCCCGCUACAAGGAAGCAAGUUUCUUUCCUCACAAAAAAUGAGUAACUGAGUUUAUGAGACUGAGCUGCUCAAGGGUGAAGGACGAACAAAUCUAAAGGAAGUAACAAAUCUGCAAAUAGAUGUGCAGUAUUUACCUUUUUGUUUUCGUAUUCAUUGAGACGAAUAAUAGGAUAAUCGGUAAAGGCUUUCCAUGUGUCUUCAAAGAAAUCUCUGUAUGGGUAGUUGGACUAAAAGAGGGCAGUUAAUGUUAACAGUAAAUAACUUCUGAUUGUUUAAUGGAAACAGUAAAUAACUUCUGAUUGGUUAAUGGAAACAGUAAAUAACUUCUGAUUGGUUAAUGGAAACAGUAAAUAACUUCUGAUUGGUUAAUGGAAACAGUAAAUAACUUCUGAUUGGUUAAUGGAAACAGUAAAUAACUUCUGAUUGGUUAAAGAAACAGUAAAUAACUUCUGAUUGGUUGAUGGAAACAGUAAAUAACUUCUGAUUGGUUAAUGGAAACAGUAAAUAACUUCUGAUUGGUUAAUGGAUACGAAAUUAUUGAGAAAACUGAUUGAUACGAGAUACAUCGAAAGGUUAUUCUGCCUCACGCUACACUAUUUCAUCAAUUUUGAUCCGAACUUGAGUUAAUCAUAGGAAAAAAAUGUCACGCUGAAUGCUGACACUGCAGAAAAAGAACUUACUGUGUCCCACAUAACGAUAUAGAUGUCAGUGGAAAAACUACCAUUCAUGUGUUGAGAGGCGUACAGAUUGACAAAGUCACAGAAAUGAUGGAACAUAUUUAUACCUGAAAUUGAAAUUGAAAUAAAAUAAACAAUAAUAUAUAAAAUGAAAAGUUGCUGGAAAAAACCAACAAAAU